GUGGGGAAUAUUGCACAAUGGGGGAAACCCUGAUGCAGCGACGCCGCGUGAGUGAAGAAGUAUUUCGGUACGUAAAGCUCUAUCAGCAAGGAAGAAAAUGACGGUACUUGACUAAGAAGCCCCGGCUAACUACGUGCCAGCAGCCGCGGUAAUACGUAGGGGGCAAGCGUUAUCCGGAUUUACUGGGUGUAAAGGGAGCGUAGACGGUAUGGUAAGUCAGAUGUGAAAGCACGGGGCUCAACCCCGGGACUGCAUUUGAAACUAUCAGACUAGAGUGCAGGAGAGGUAAGUGGAAUUCCUAGUGUAGCGGUGAAAUGCGUAGAUAUUAGGAGGAACACCAGUGGCGAAGGCGGCUUACUGGACUGUAACUGACGUUGAGGCUCGAAAGCGUGGGGAGCAAACGGGAUUAGAUACCCCAGUAGUCC
rnacentral:rRNA from 1 species